rfam:Ailuropoda melanoleuca scaffold1625_24, whole genome shotgun sequence.
GCCUGGCUGGCUCAGUCAGAAGAGCAUGUGACUCUUAAUCUCAGGGUUAUGGGUUUGAGCCUCACGCUGGGUG